AAGUCGUACGCUUCUUUUUCCCCGGAGCUUGCUCCACCGGAAAAAGAAGAGUGGCGAACGGGUGAGUAACACGUGGGUAACCUGCCCAUCAGAAGGGGAUAACACUUGGAAACAGGUGCUAAUACCGUAUAACAAUCGAAACCGCAUGGUUUUGAUUUGAAAGGCGCUUUCGGGUGUCGCUGAUGGAUGGACCCGCGGUGCAUUAGCUAGUUGGUGAGGUAACGGCUCACCAAGGCUACGAUGCAUAGCCGACCUGAGAGGGUGAUCGGCCACAUUGGGACUGAGACACGGCCCAAACUCCUACGGGAGGCAGCAGUAGGGAAUCUUCGGCAAUGGACGAAAGUCUGACCGAGCAACGCCGCGUGAGUGAAGAAGGUUUUCGGAUCGUAAAACUCUGUUGUUAGAGAAGAACAAGGAUGAGAGUAACUGUUCAUCCCUUGACGGUAUCUAACCAGAAAGCCACGGCUAACUACGUGCCAGCAGCCGCGGUAAUACGUAGGUGGCAAGCGUUGUCCGGAUUUAUUGGGCGUAAAGCGAGCGCAGGCGGUUUCUUAAGUCUGAUGUGAAAGCCCCCGGCUCAACCGGGGAGGGUCAUUGGAAACUGGGAGACUUGAGUGCAGAAGAGGAGAGUGGAAUUCCAUGUGUAGCGGUGAAAUGCGUAGAUAUAUGGAGGAACACCAGUGGCGAAGGCGGCUCUCUGGUCUGUAACUGACGCUGAGGCUCGAAAGCGUGGGGAGCAAACAGGAUUAGAUACCCUGGUAGUCCACGCCGUAAACGAUGAGUGCUAAGUGUUGGAGGGUUUCCGCCCUUCAGUGCUGCAGCUAACGCAUUAAGCACUCCGCCUGGGGAGUACGACCGCAAGGUUGAAACUCAAAGGAAUUGACGGGGGCCCGCACAAGCGGUGGAGCAUGUGGUUUAAUUCGAAGCAACGCGAAGAACCUUACCAGGUCUUGACAUCCUUUGACCACUCUAGAGAUAGAGCUUCCCCUUCGGGGGCAAAGUGACAGGUGGUGCAUGGUUGUCGUCAGCUCGUGUCGUGAGAUGUUGGGUUAAGUCCCGCAACGAGCGCAACCCUUAUUGUUAGUUGCCAUCAUUCAGUUGGGCACUCUAGCAAGACUGCCGGUGACAAACCGGAGGAAGGUGGGGAUGACGUCAAAUCAUCAUGCCCCUUAUGACCUGGGCUACACACGUGCUACAAUGGGAAGUACAACGAGUCGCGAAGUCGCGAGGCUAAGCUAAUCUCUUAAAGCUUCUCUCAGUUCGGAUUGUAGGCUGCAACUCGCCUACAUGAAGCCGGAAUCGCUAGUAAUCGCGGAUCAGCACGCCGCGGUGAAUACGUUCCCGGGCCUUGUACACACCGCCCGUCACACCACGAGAGUUUUAACACCCGAAGUCGGUGAGGUAACCUUUGGAGCCAG
rnacentral:rRNA from 1 species